rnacentral:rRNA from 1 species
AUGGCCAUGGCCAUGACGAGCCUGCAAGAUGUGCUGCAGCAGAUCUUCGAGUACAAUGGCUCCCCCGUGGUGGAGAUGGUGGGGAAGAACUGCUUCGCCAUCGCCAGUGACUACCACCUCGGUGUGCAGCUGCAGACCAUCGCCACCGACUUCCAACGGGCCUUCAAGAUCCACGGCAAGCUCUACAUCAGCCUCUCCGGCCUCACCACCGACGCCCAGACAUUGCAACAUGGUGACUCUAGUGCAGCUGAGAUAUUAGAUUGCACUUUGGGCGAGCUGCAGCGGGACAACCUGGAGUGGAAGAACUUCGAGGACAAGAUCAUUGAGAACCUGGAGAAGAUCAGCGACUACCUCAUCCUCGUCUGCAUGGUUGGCUCCUUUGGCAGACCCCUCUUUGGCUUCGACCAACUUACUUUUGUCGCUGGCUAG